rnacentral:rRNA from 1 species
GACGAACGCUGGCGGCGUGCCUAAUACAUGCAAGUCGAGCGGACCAACCAGGAGCUUGCUCUUGUUUGGUUAGCGGCGGACGGGUGAGUAACACGUGGGUAACCUGCCCGUAAGACCGGGAUAACUCCGGGAAACCGGAGCUAAUACCGGAUAACACCGAAGACCGCAUGGUCUUUGGGUGAAAGGCGGCUUCGGCUGCCACUUACGGAUGGGCCCGCGGCGCAUUAGCUAGUUGGUGAGGUAACGGCUCACCAAGGCGACGAGGCGUAGCCGGCCUGAGGGGGUGGCCGGCCACACUGGGACUGAGACACGGCCCAGACUCCUACGGGAGGCAGCAGUAGGGAAUCUUCCGCAAUGGACGAAAGUCUGACGGAGCGACGCCGCGUGAGCGAAGAAGGUCUUCGGAUCGUAAAGCUCUGUUGUUAGGGAAGAAGAAGCGCCGUUCGAACAGGGCGGCGCGGUAACGGUACCUAACGAGAAAGCCCCGGCUAACUACGUG